CAUAUGUAAUAUGUAAGAUAUGAUAACGUAUUAAAACAUAUGAUAUGAUAAAAUAACAUAACAUUAAAACAACACAGGGCAUGCCUAUCGUAAGAGUUAUCGCAAAGAAAAUGUAAAGGAACAAAUGUUCAGUUCGUUUUGUUCUCAGCUUUCAUUAACUUGUUAUUCUCUCUUAAAUAACUGACGCGUUAGUGGGACACUUGGCCUGACACGUCUGGUAUAUCAUGGGGGCCUCACUGAAAUAUUCAAGGUCAGACCAAGAUUUUAAUUGCGGUCAGCGCCACCUACUGCUGCUCACAACGCAACUCACUCAUAAAUGAACUGAACAUCCCCGAGAGGGCGGCAUGACGACGAUUACAGCGUGGGUGCUGAUAUCAAAAACGCUGAUUUGCAGUUUUUGCGAGACGUCUUUCUGGUAUCAGAAAAAAGCGUUGUUUCUCUCAAAGUUUUUUGCUUUCUGCGUUUAAUAAUUUAUUAAAACAUGAGUUUAAGACCUUGUUGUAUGCCUCAGUGCGAUGAUAUAUGUUCUAGACGGUGUCGACUUCCUAGAAAUGAAAAUUUGAGUAGCAUUUGGAUCAAGCGGGCGGGAUGUGAGGAUUUAGUGCAAAAUUGAAAUUUUGCAGUGUUUUUAUGUGCUCUAGACAUUUCCACGAUGUGUGUUGUGUCAGUGUGUCAAGCAAGGGGUAACUGAUUUUGGUGCAUCUAAGUGAAAAAAUAAAAAAGCAUGAAAACUCAAAAAGCCUACAGAUAUUAGAUCUGAUAGUGAUAGAUAUGCUUUUAAAGGUACGUGAAAAAAAAUCCAAAAUGAAUUAUUGGAUUGCAUACUUGAGGUUUGCCAUAAAGAAAUAACCAAAGAAAUGAAAAAAGCUUCGGUGUUGGCUGUUAUUGCUGAUGAAGCGACGGAUGUGUCUGCAAAAACUCAACUAGUGGUCAUUUUAAGAUAUACACGCGAUGAUGGAGAACCAGUUGAACGUUUUUGGACAUAUCUAAAUCCUGAAAAAUGCUAUGCUGAAACUUUAUCUGAAACUAUUUUAAGUAUUAUAGACCCAUUAAUUGGAAAUUCUCCUAAUAAGUUAAUAAAGCAGCAGUUAUGAGUGGACAACACGCAGGAGUUCAGGCAAAAAUUAAACAAAAAUAUCCCUUUGCCCAUUUUGAACACUGUUAUGCCCAUCAAUUAAGUUUGAGUUUCUCCAAAGCAGCUUCUGCAAACGCUCAAGCAGGUGUCUUUUUUGGAAAGUUGCAAGAUAUUUCUGAAUUUUUCAAUAAUCCUCCGCAACGUGUAGAAGUACUAAAUAAAAUUGUAUGCUAAAAUAAAAUACCUCAUGGAGUUGCAACUCGUUGGAAUUUUAACAUUCGUACAAUUAAUGUUGUUGAUUAAUGUAUUUGAACACAGAGAGUCACUUAUUGAGUGUAUGGAAGAAAUAGUGAAAAAUUUUACUCAAGCAUCCGUCUGCAGUGCCGCUCCUCCGCGACUCCAUUGAACGUACUUUACAAAACCCAGAUUUAAGCAUACUUGGGUAAAGUUUUACAAAUUCGAAAUUACUUUCUGACAUUCUAGAGAAUAGCAUCUAUGAAAUUUUUCAAAUUUGAAUCAAGUACAAGAAGUAGAUUUUCUGUAAUUUACUGCCAAAAAUGCACGGAAAUUCCUAUGCUUUUACGGGUGACCGUAUAGCCUUAAUACGUAUUUUUUUUAUUCAACGCACAUUUUCACGAACCUUAAAUAUAGCUAUUUUCACACUUGGUCAUUUUAAAGCCUCUCCAACUAUGUGAUUUAUUAUGUGAGCCAAACAGGGCUAAUAUUUCAUUGAGCGUCCGAGUAGCUAGAUAGAGCAUAUGCAUUUUAAUAUUGUUUGCGCCCAUCCUUAUCUAAAACGCCUUUGUUGCUUGGUUCAGGCUUUACUUUGUAAAUCCGUCAGACGGUCCUUAACCACUACCCUUCUGGCGGAUCUGAAGCCUGAAUCCGUAAAAGCACUCACUCAUUCGAACGUUCUAGAACAAUAAAGUUUAGUUUAUUGCC